CUUGCACUGACUGACACGACGGCGCGCGUGUGAACAGCUUGAAUGUCCGCCUGCCCGCGACGGGCUGCACGCCGCGCAGCCCGCCAGGCAGCCCGCCGGGUUGCGCGGCGCGCGUGUGAGCGUAGCAUAAGAUUGGCCGAUUGCGAUAAAAACCAUAGAAAGAAGAAUAAUAACCAUAACCUCAAAGUCGAAGUUUUAGUUCAAAUGUCAUUUAGUUGUUCAAAUGUCAUUGUCAUUUACUUUGUUUGGAUUACACACAUCAUGCCGAAAAUCCCGAAUCUCCGUGCAUUUGGUAAACAUUGUCACAAUUGUGGAAAGUGGAUGGAGCGAAGGGCUCUUCGUAAAGAUGGUGUGUAGUAUUUUAGUAGUGACAUGCAAUUUUUGUAAUGGCAAAAUAUUUGCAAGAGAUGGCAAACAAAAGCAAAUGUGCAAUCGAUGUGUGGAAUGCGACAACAUUAUAAUCGGUCGAUAACGAAGAGUUGAAUGUUAGAUUUUAUGAAAAUAUUAUUUACAACUCAUUUCGAGAAGCUGCUCAAGCUCCUUUUUGACGAUCAAGAAUGGGAAAGAUGUUUGAAUGAAGCAAUUGAUUUUAAACUUCCUCGGCAAUUAUUUCGAGUUCGAAGAUUCGAUGAUGUAAAAAUUCAAAUUAUCAAUACCACUGAACAAGGCUUGAAAGGUGAUAAAUAUUUAUCGAAAAAUGUUAUAUAUAGAGAAAUUUUGUGAUAAUCAACCUCUGAUGUAUAAUAGAGAAUAUUUUUUUAUAAGUACCUUUGCCAAAUUCUCGGAUAAGUACUCAUUGUAAAAUUACAAUUUACAUACUUCCUAAUAUUAUUCUUGAUUUAGCCAAUUUGGAUAAAGAACCACAAUUUCAUAUUUUAUUUUUAAAAUUAGUAAGUACUUAUCUACCUGUCAAAGUAAAGAA